ACAGCAUAUGCUGUGGUAUACUUUCUCCUUCUGUCUAUCUAUCCCUAUCUUAAAUUAAAAAAGAAAAAGUACUUAGUGGGGGGUCCCUGAAACCUGACUCCUCGCUAUAAGGCAGAUGGAUAGCAUGGCUGGCCUGGCCUGCAUUGCUACUGCUGCUGCCCCACAGUUCCGGGCAGCUGUCUGCAGGAGGCCCACACGUGGGAACCAAAGCAGGAGCAGGCAUGAGGGCCACCUGAGAGCAGCCUUGGAUCUGACC
rnacentral:snoRNA from 1 species